GAUGAACGCUGGCGGCGUGCCUAAUACAUGCAAGUCGAGCGAACGGACGAGAAGCUUGCUUUUCUGAUGUUAGCGGCGGACGGGUGAGUAACACGUGGAUAACCUACCUAUAAGACUGGGAUAACUUCGGGAAACCGGAGCUAAUACCGGAUCAUAUUUUGAACCGCAUGGUUCAAAAGUGAAAGACGGUCUUGCUGUCACUUAUAGAUGGAUCCGCGCUGCAUUAGCUAGUUGGUAAGGUAACGGCUUACCAAGGCAACGAUGCAUAGCCGACCUGAGAGGGUGAUCGGCCACACUGGAACUGAGACACGGUCCAGACUCCUACGGGAGGCAGCAGUAGGGAAUCUUCCGCAAUGGGCGAAAGCCUGACGGAGCAACGCCGCGUGAGUGAUGAAGGUCUUCGGAUCGUAAAACUCUUUUAUUAGGGAAGAACAUAUGUGUAAGUAACUGUGCACAUCUUGACGGUACCUAAUCAGAAAGCCACGGCUAACUACGUG
rnacentral:rRNA from 1 species